AGCGAACGUUUGCGGCGGGCCUAACACAUGCAAGUCGAACGCACUAGCAAUAGUGAGUGGCGCACGGGUGCGUAACACGUGGGUAAUCAACCCUUCAGCUUGGGAUAACGACUUGAAAGGGUCGCUAAUACCGGAUACGGCGCGGGAGGCUUCGGCUUCUCACGAGAAAGCCUCGCAAGGGACACUGAAGGACGAGCCUGCGGCCCAUCAGCUAGUUGGUGAGGUAAGAGCUCACCAAGGCGAAGACGGGUAGCUGGUCUGAGAGGAUGAUCAGCCACACUGGAACUGAGACACGGUCCAGACUCCUACGGGAGGCAGCAGUGGGGAAUAUUGCGCAAUGGCGAAAGCCUGACGCAGCCACGCCGCGUGAGCGAUGAAGGCCU
rnacentral:rRNA from 1 species